rnacentral:rRNA from 1 species
GAUGAACGCUGGCGGCGUGCCUAAUACAUGCAAGUCGAGCGAACAGACGAGGAGCUUGCUCCUCUGACGUUAGCGGCGGACGGGUGAGUAACACGUGGAUAACCUACCUAUAAGACUGGGAUAACUUCGGGAAACCGGAGCUAAUACCGGAUAAUAUGUUGAAUCGCAUGGUUCAACAGUGAAAGACGGUCUUGCUGUCACUUAUAGAUGGAUCCGCGCCGCAUUAGCUAGUUGGUAAGGUAACGGCUUACCAAGGCAACGAUGCGUAGCCGACCUGAGAGGGUGAUCGGCCACACUGAAACUGAGACACGGUCCAGACUCCUACGGGAGGCAGCAGUAGGGAAUCUUCCGCAAUGGGCGAAAGCCUGACGGAGCAACGCCGCGUGAGUGAAGAAGGUCUUCGGAUCGUAAAACUCUGUUAUUAGGGAAGAACAAAUGUGUAAGUAACUAUGCACGUCUUGACGGUACCUAAUCAGAAAGCCACGGCUAACUACGUG